rnacentral:lncRNA from 1 species
GGACAUUCUGAGCUAUUUGGAAGAAGAUUCAUGUGUCAAAGCAAUAGUAAGAGAUUUUACUCAAAACACACAGGUGGGCGAGGAUUGUGUUGCAGAGCGACGUGUGGGUUGAUCACGGGGAUAGUUUGCCAGCGUUGUAGACCUCGUCAUAGCCUGUGAUUGACGGCAUCUUCAGUCACAAUUCAUUUGUGAUAGUUUUCUCUCUUUUUAAAUUUACACAUCCACUCAUUUUAUUUUGACUUUGUAAAUAAUAAUAGGAAUUUAACAAAUUAGAUUACCUCUGAUAUUUUCUAUAUUAUAACCUUGUUAUAAGAGCUUCUUAAUUUUAUUUUUGUAACUUCCUAAGUCUUGAGCAUCGAAAGUGUUAUUUUAGGGAAAUAGAAUUGGUUAUUUAGCUGAUACAGGUUGAUCAUUUCAUAUUC